AGAAAAGCCCCUCUGAGGAAGUGACAUUUAAAUGGAAGUCUAAUUAAAUUACUCUAGGAAGAGGACACAGCAAGUACAAACGUAUGACUUGAGAGAAGUCAGAAGACCAGUACAGGUGUCACCGGACUAAAACUGGAGUAUCAGCAGGCAUUCCCUUCUGGAGGCUUAAGGGCAGAAUCCAUUUCCUUGCAUUUUCCAGCUUCUAGAGGCAUCUCCCUGGUCCUUGCAUACUGUCGCCAACAUUUCAGAACUGGCAAUAGGAAACCAUAUCAUGAGCAAAAAUACAGGCAUGUUAAAGAGCUUGAGAUUGUCCAGAGAAAAUUGUGUGUGCUUUGGGGCUGUGUUAAUCUGGUACACGGACUCUCAACAACAAGAAUAAAAAAAGAGUUGGAUUUCCAGCCCAGAAUUAGACAAUGGCACAGCACGUUUCUCCUGCCGUCCUUUCCAGCACUGAAGGCUUCUUCCAGGCAGCCCCGCCUGGAGGUGGAGCAGCUCUUUAGUAAGGACAUGACAGACUGGUCAACUCACAGUUUAGUAAGACUCUAUCCCCAUAAAAGGGGCAAUUGAAAGUCUAAAGAUGCGGAAAUAAUAAAGACACAGUGCUGAUGAAGUGUCCUCCCAGUGCCUAGCUGAAGACUAUCUGCUCUGCAGGCUACUCUUCAGUAGUGGGAACAGAUGCUUUAUAUGCAAAGCCUCAAUUAUAGUCAAGAAAUCCAUACUUUUCCAAAAUUCCUCUUUAGAGGAAUGCUUCCACUUCAC
rnacentral:lncRNA from 1 species